rnacentral:rRNA from 1 species
UACGGCUCAGUAACACGUAGCUAACCUGCCCUUAAGUCAAGGAUACCCUCGGGAAACUGAGGUUAAUACUUGAUACGAGAUGUACCCUGGAACGAUUCAUCUCUGAAAUUCGAGCUUAAGGAUGGGGCUGCGGCGGAUUAGGUUGUUGGCGGGAUAAAAGCCCACCAAGCCGAUGAUCCGUAAGGGCUCUUAGCGGAGAGGCCCUGAGAGGGAGUCUGAGACAAGACUCCUCGUCCUACGGGAUGUAGCAAGCGAGAAUCUUUUACAAUGCGCGAAAGCGUGAUAAAGCGAAUCAGAGUGCUUUUCUUUUUUGAAAAGCUUUUGCCAAAUCUAAAAAGUUUGGCGAAUAAGGAGUGGGUAAGACUAGUGCCAGCCGCCGCGGUAAUACUAGCGGUCCAAGUCGCAGCCACAAUUAUUGGGUCUAAAACAUCCGUAGCUUGCUCGAUAAGUUUCUUGUGAAAUCCGGCCUCUCAAGGGUCGGGCGUGCAGGAAGUACUGUCUUGCUAGAGACUGGAAGACGUAAGGAGUACGAACGAAGUAGUGGUAAAAUACGUUAAUCUUUUUCGGACUACCAACAGCGAAGGCACCUUACGAGGACAGUUCUGACAGUGAGGGAUGAAGGCUAGGGGCGCAAAAAGGAUUAGAUACCCUUGUAGUCCUAGCAGUAAACACUGCACACUAAACAUUAGUACCUCCUCGAGAGGUAUUGGUGCUGAAGCGAAGGCGAAGAGUGUGCUACCUGGGAAGUAUAGUCGCAAGGCCGAAACUUAAAGGAAUUGGCGGGGGAGCACAAUC